rnacentral:rRNA from 1 species
CUUAACACAUGCAAGUCGAACGGAAAGGCCCUUCGGGGUACUCGAGUGGCGAACGGGUGAGUAACACGUGGGUGAUCUGCCCUGCACUUUGGGAUAAGCCUGGGAAACUGGGUCUAAUACCGAAUAUGAUCAUUGGCUUCAUGGCUGGUGGUGGAAAGCUUUUGCGGUGUGGGAUGGGCCCGCGGCCUAUCAGCUUGUUGGUGGGGUAAUGGCCUACCAAGGCGACGACGGGUAGCCGGCCUGAGAGGGUGACCGGCCACACUGGGACUGAGAUACGGCCCAGACUCCUACGGGAGGCAGCAGUGGGGAAUAUUGCACAAUGGGCGCAAGCCUGAUGCAGCGACGCCGCGUGAGGGAUGACGGCCUUCGGGUUGUAAACCUCUUUCAAUAGGGACGAAGCGCAAGUGACGGUACCUAUAGAAGAAGGACCGGCCAACUACGUGCCAGCAGCCGCGGUAAUACGUAGGGUCCGAGCGUUGUCCGGAAUUACUGGGCGUAAAGAGCUCGUAGGUGGUUUGUCGCGUUGUUCGUGAAAACUCACAGCUUAACUGUGGGCGUGCGGGCGAUACGGGCAGACUAGAGUACUGCAGGGGAGACUGGAAUUCCUGGUGUAGCGGUGGAAUGCGCAGAUAUCAGGAGGAACACCGGUGGCGAAGGCGGGUCUCUGGGCAGUAACUGACGCUGAGGAGCGAAAGCGUGGGGAGCGAACAGGAUUAGAUACCCUGGUAGUCCACGCCGUAAACGGUGGGUACUAGGUGUGGGUUUCCUUCCUUGGGAUCCGUGCCGUAGCUAACGCAUUAAGUACCCCGCCUGGGGAGUACGGCCGCAAGGCUAAAACUCAAAGGAAUUGACGGGGGCCCGCACAAGCGGCGGAGCAUGUGGAUUAAUUCGAUGCAACGCGAAGAACCUUACCUGGGUUUGACAU